rnacentral:rRNA from 1 species
UUUGAUUAUGGCUCAGAUUGAACGCUGGCGGAAUGCUUUACACAUGCAAGUCGAACGGCAGCACGGACUUCGGUCUGGUGGCGAGUGGCGAACGGGUGAGUAAUAUAUCGGAACGUGCCCAGUCGUGGGGGAUAACGUAGUGAAAAUUACGCUAAUACCGCAUACGAUCUAAGGAUGAAAGCGGGGGAUCGCAAGACCUCGCGCGAUUGGAGCGGCCGAUAUCAGAUUAGGUAGUUGGUGAGGUAAAGGCUCACCAAGCCAACGAUCUGUAGCUGGUCUGAGAGGACGACCAGCCACACUGGAACUGAGACACGGUCCAGACUCCUACGGGAGGCAGCAGUGGGGAAUUUUGGACAAUGGACGCAAGUCUGAUCCAGCCAUUCCGCGUGCAGGACGAAGGCCUUCGGGUUGUAAACUGCUUUUGUACAGAACGAAAAGGUCUCUAUUAAUACUAGGGGCUCAUGACGGUACUGUAAGAAUAAGCACCGGCUAACUACGUGCCAGCAGCCGCGGUAAUACGUAGGGUGCAAGCGUUAAUCGGAAUUACUGGGCGUAAAGCGUGCGCAGGCGGUUAUAUAAGACAGAUG